rnacentral:rRNA from 1 species
AUUGAACGCUGGCGGCAGGCUUAACACAUGCAAGUCGAGCGGUAGCAGGAGAAAUGUUGCUGGCUUGCUGACGAGUGGCGUACGGGUGGGUAAUGCAUGGGCAUCGUGCUUAUGGAUAGCGAUAGCUACUGGGAGCUGUAACUGCUACCGCGUAGUGGCUUCGGAUUAAAGAAUUUCGGUUUUAACCAUUUCACAUCAGAUUAGGCCAAGUGGGAUUAGGUAGUGGGUGGGGUAAAGGCCUACCAAGGCGACGAUCGCUAGCUGGUCUGAGAGGAUGACCAGCCACACUGGAACUGAGACACGGUCCAGACUCCUACGGGAGGCAGCAGUGGGGAAUAUUGCGCAAUGGGCGCAACCCUGACGCAGCCAUGCCGCGUGAAUGAAGAAGGUCUUCGGGUUGUAAAGCUCUUUAGGUGGGGAGGAAGGCUAAUAUGUUAAUAGCAUACUAGAUUGACGUUAGCAACAGAAGAAGCACCGGCUAACUCCGUG